CAAGUAGGUCGGGCGGUCGCCUUUUUCUGUAAUAUGAAAAGGGAGGAAAGUCCGAACUCCAUACAGCAGGGUGCUCCCUAACGGAGAGGUUUCGUGAGAAACGGAAAGUGCAACAGAAAGAAUACCGCCGAUUUCCGACUUGUUCGGAAAGGUAAGGGUGAAACGGUGGUGUAAGAGACCACCAGAUUCGGGAGUGAUCCCGGAUGCUCUGUAAACCCCACUCGGAGCAAGAUCAAGAAGGGAAAUACGCGUUGCUGGCGUAAGUUGGGCCUUGCCCGACAAUUUCCCGGGUAGAUCGCUUGAGCGUUGCGGUAACGCAGCGCCCAGAUUAAUGAUCGCCACCCGGUUUACCGGGAUACAGAAUUCGGCUUACAGACUUACUUGGAGU
rnacentral:RNase_P_RNA from 1 species